AAGUCGUAACAAGGUUUCCGUAGGUGAACCUGCGGAAGGAUCAUUACAGAAUUUUGAGAAUUGUGCUUAACUGCACUUUUCUUAUCUACACACGUGUUUUUGUUUUAUUCUUAAAACUUGCUUUGGCAGUGGCUGCUUAAUUGCUCUGCUGCCAGAGGAUAAACUCAACCUAAAUUUUUUAUUUUAAACUAGUCAACUGAUUAUAUUUAUUAAUAGUCAAAAC
rnacentral:misc_RNA from 1 species